AGUAAAGGUUUAUUCCGGUAAGGGAUGGGUCUGCGCCCUAUCAGCUUGUUGGUAAGGUAAUGGCUUACCAAGGCUAUGACGGGUAGGCGGAGUGAGAGCUUGUCCGCCAACAAUGGCACUGAGACACUGGCCAUACUCCUACGGGAGGCUGCAGUCGAGAAUAUUGGUCAAUGGACGAAAGUCUGAACCAGCGACGUCGCGUGUAGGAAUAAGAUCUUCGGAUUGUAAACUACUUUUAUAAGGGAAGAAUCUUUUAGAUGACGGUACCUUAUGAAUAAGGGGUGACAAAACUCGUGCCAGCAGUAGCGGUAAUACGAGUGCCCCAAGCGUUAUCCGGAUUAAUUGGGCGUAAAGGGUCCGUAGGCGGUUUGUUAAGUUUUUCGUUAAAUCUCCAGGGCUUAACCUUGGAGUUGCGGAAAAAACUAACAGACUAGAGGAUGUUAGGGGCUAGCGGAAUGUCUGGUGUAGGGGUGAAAUCCGUUGAUAUCAGAUGGAACACCAAAAGCGAAGGCAGCUAGCUGGGGCAAUCCUGACGCUCAGGGACGAAAGCGUGGGGAGAAAAGAGGAUUAGAUACCCUCGUAUUCCACGCCAUAAACGAUGAGCACUAUCUAUUGCAAGGUUCGACCCUUGCAGGGGUCAAGCUAACGCGUUAAGUGCUCCCGCCUGGGAAGUACGGUCGCAAGGCUAAAACUCAAAGGAAUAGACGGGGACUCACACAAGCGGUGGAUCACGUGGCUUAAUUCGACUCUAAGCGAGGAACCUUACCAAGGCUUGAAACUCUAAUGAGAUCCUUCCGAAAGGAAGGCCCUCCGAAAGAACAUUAGAGCAGGUGCUGCAUGGUUGUCGUCAGCAGGUGGCUUGAGUUGCUCCCUUAAAUGGGGAAACCUGCGCAACCCUUACCCUAUGUUUUAAAUGUCAUGGGGGACUGCCUAGGACAACUAGGAGGAAGGUGAGGAUGACGGCAAAUCAGCAUGGCCCUUUGAUGCCUUGGGCUGCACACGUGAUACAAUGGAAAUGACAAAGGGGUGCUAAGAGGUAACUUGGAGCAAAUCCCAUCAAACAUUUCCUCAAUUCGGAUUGAGGUCUGCAACCCGACCUCAUGAAGUCGGAAUCGCUAGUAACCGUAGAUCAGCCAUGCUACGGUGAAUAUGUCCCUGGGUCUUGUAAACACCGCCCGUCAAG
rnacentral:rRNA from 1 species